rnacentral:lncRNA from 7 species
GGGUUGUGCGAUAAGUAUAUUGGUAGAUAUAUAUAUAAUACACAGGUUAACCGGUAAAUUAGUUUAGAAAGUUAAUAAAAGUUAUUCUAUCAAAUUUUAUAAGUAUUAGAUGUCCAAAAAUUGUGAAGUUAAAAGUUAUAAGUCGUUUAGUGUGUUCUCUAGACUAGGUCUGAUAAUUUAUGUGUUGGUCGAUCUCAUGCUUGGAAUGGAUGUUGAUUGCUACCUCGACUGUUUAGCUAGGUUGUAAGAACAUGAUUGUCGUAAGUAACAAUAUAUCGAUAACUAGUGUACGUAAUGUCUCGUCAUUAAAUAGGUUAUUUCUCUUUUGCGUAGCAUCGUAAUAUCUAGUGUUAUUGUUCUUUAUAUGCAUUCAUAUGCAUAAUGCAUUUCAUUCAGGACGAUAAAUAAUCGCGUGAUGUGGAAGAAAAACCAAGUUGACCCCAAACGCGGGCUAAUCUGCAAGCUGAAGCUGAAGAAUCAACCUGAAGAUGGUUAAAUCAAGCAAGUGCUCGGUCGACGAAUACUCGUCAGGCGGAUGUCACCUAACAACACUAACCUAGUGUUACUCAGGCAAGCCCCGGUGCAUUUGUCACCUUCCUUGAGGUUUUUAAAAUCUUUCUCACUUGAUUGCUGCAUUAGGUGAUAGGAGUUGAUUGAUAAAAGAAUUCAUGCAUUACCUUCCUUGAAUUUGAUUACCUUCCUUGAUCACCCGUUUUACAAAAGAUUUUGAUGCUUAGCCUUGCUUUAGAAAACAAAAUGUUUUGUUUUUACAAACUAUGAUGUGGCAAAGGUGGGUGGGAUGUUUU